GUGGGGAAUUUUGGACAAUGGGCGCAAGCCUGAUCCAGCCAUGCCGCGUGAGUGAAGAAGGCCUUCGGGUUGUAAAGCUCUUUCGGCCGGGAAGAAAUCGCGCCUGUGAAUAACGGGUGUGGAUGACGGUACCGGAAGAAGAAGCACCGGCUAACUACGUGCCAGCAGCCGCGGUAAUACGUAGGGUGCGAGCGUUAAUCGGAAUUACUGGGCGUAAAGCGUGCGCAGGCGGCUUGUUAAGACAGGUGUGAAAUCCCCGGGCUUAACCUGGGAAUGGCGCUUGUGACUGGCAGGCUAGAGUUCGGCAGAGGGGGGUGGAAUUCCUGGUGUAGCAGUGAAAUGCGUAGAGAUCAGGAGGAACACCGAUGGCGAAGGCAGCCCCCUGGGCCGCGACUGACGCUCAGGCACGAAAGCGUGGGGAGCAAACAGGAUUAGAUACCCUGGUAGUCC
rnacentral:rRNA from 1 species